rnacentral:misc_RNA from 1 species
ACACCUCAACUCCUCAUGGCUUGCCAUGAUGAGCUUGGACCUGGGGGUCUUGCUGGCCUGCAGUCAGCUCCUCUCAAAUGGAUCAGCUUGCCAGUGUUUGGUGGCACCACGGGUGUGAUAAACAUCUACGCUUGUGGUUCACCAUGUGUAACCUUCAGUGAUGGAGGUUCGCUGGAGCUCACAAACGUCUUUCCUCGGUGAAGACAGCUCUUUGAUC